GUUGGCUCUUUGAGGCCUCGGCGCGCCGCGGGCUCCCCUCACCCCCGCCCCCCAGCACACCUCGGCGUCUGAGAGCGGCGCGGGGGAGGGAAGGGGCCGGGAGGCUGGCCUGGGCUGCCGGCCGGACGCGGCGGCGCGCACGCAGGACUCGCCUCUCCUGGGCCUUCUCCUCACGCCGGCCGCUGGGCGGGCGCGCACGCCGAGUGACGCUCGAAGGAGGAAGCGCAACCCCCUUCCCCUCCCUCGCUGCCCCUGGCCCAGCGGGAGCCCCCCCAGUGCGCCUGUGCGGAGGCCUACUUGAUUAUGUGUGCCCUCUCCGGGCUCCAGCGUUAGCGGCCGGGUGGAGGUGGGGAGGGAAGACGACGAGGAGGAGGAGGAGGAGGCGGAGGAGGCGGUGGAGGGGAGGUGGGGGGAGUCAGCAAGGACAUGGCUCCUGACUCCUGUGCGGAACGUGAGUGACUGAGCGGCAAAGCCCGAAUGGUCUCUAGCGACCGGCCCGUGUCACUGGAGGACGAGGUCUCCCAUAGUAUGAAGGAGAUGAUUGGAGGCUGUUGCGUUUGCUCAGACGAGAGAGGCUGGGCCGAGAACCCGCUGGUUUAUUGCGACGGGCACGGCUGCAGCGUCGCGGUGCAUCAAGCUUGCUAUGGAAUUGUUCAAGUACCCACUGGACCAUGGUUUUGCAGGAAGUGUGAAUCUCAGGAGAGAGCAGCCAGAGUGAGAUGUGAACUGUGUCCUCAUAAGGAUGGAGCUUUAAAAAGAACAGAUAAUGGCGGUUGGGCUCAUGUGGUUUGUGCCCUGUAUAUUCCAGAGGUACAGUUUGCCAAUGUUUCUACAAUGGAACCAAUUGUUUUACAGUCUGUUCCACAUGAUCGUUAUAAUAAGACUUGCUACAUUUGUGAUGAACAAGGAAGAGAAAGCAAAGCAGCCACUGGUGCUUGCAUGACAUGUAAUAAACAUGGAUGUCGGCAGGCUUUCCAUGUGACAUGUGCUCAGUUUGCUGGACUACUUUGUGAAGAAGAGGGUAAUGGUGCAGAUAACGUCCAAUACUGUGGCUACUGUAAAUACCAUUUUAGUAAGCUGAAAAAGAGCAAGCGGGGAUCUAAUAGGUCAUAUGAUCAAAGUUUAAGUGAUUCUUCCUCUCACUCUCAGGAUAAACAUCAUGAGAAAGAGAAAAAAAAAUAUAAAGAAAAGGACAAACACAAACAAAAACACAAGAAGCAGCCAGAACCAUCACCUGCAUUGGUUCCUUCCUUGACUGUUACAACAGAAAAAACUUAUACAAGCACUAGCAGCAACUCUAUAUCUGGAUCAUUGAAGCGCUUGGAAGAUACUGCAGCACGAUUUACGAAUGCAAAUUUCCAGGAAGUCUCUGCGCACACUACUAGUGCAAAAGAUGUUUCAGAGGCUAGAGGGUCAGAGGGCAAAGGGAAGAAAUCUUCAGCUCACAGCUCAGGUCAAAGGGGAAGAAAGCCUGGUGGAAGAAAUCCAGGAACGACUGUAUCAGCAGCUAGUCCUUUCCAGCAAGGCAGUUUUUCAGGAACUCCAGGCAGUGUAAAAUCAUCUUCGGGAAGUUCAGUACAGUCUCCCCAGGAUUUCUUGAGCUUUACAGACUCAGAUCUGCGUAAUGACAGUUACACUCACUCUCAGCAGUCAUCAUCAACCAAAGAUGUACAUAAAGGAGAGUCUGGAAGCCAGGAAGGGGGGGUAAAUAGUUUUAGUUCCAUAAUUGGUCUCCCUUCAACCUCAGCUGUUAUUUCACAGCCUAAAAGCUUUGAAAAUUCACCUGGAGAUUUGGGUAAUUCCAGCCUUCCUACAGCAGGAUAUAAGCGGGCUCAAACUUCUGGCAUAGAAGAAGAAACUGUAAAGGAAAAGAAAAGAAAAGGAAAUAAGCAAAGUAAGCAUGGGCCUGGUAGACCCAAAGGAAACAAAAAUCAAGAGAAUGUUUCUCAUCUCUCAGUUUCUUCUGCUUCACCAACGUCAUCUGUAGCGUCAGCUGCAGGAAGUGUAACCAGCUCUAGUCUUCAGAAAUCCCCCACACCACUCAGGAAUGGGAGUGUGCAGAGUCUUAGUGUGGGCUCCUCUCCACUUGGUUCAGAAAUUUCCAUGCAGUAUCGGCAUGAUGGAGCUUGUCCAACAACUACUUUCUCAGAGUUGCUGAAUGCAAUACACAAUGGUAUUUAUAACAGCAGUGAUGUAGCAGUAUCAUUUCCAAAUGUAGUAUCUGGCUCAGGAUCGAGUACUCCUGUCUCCAGUUCUCAUUUACCUCAGCAACCUUCUGGGCAUUUACAGCAAGUGGGAGCUCUCUCCCCAUCCACUGGGUCAUCUGUACCCUCUGCUGUUGCUACAACUCAGGCAAAUACUCUAUCUGGAUCUUCUCUUAGUCAGGCAUCAUCUCAUAUGUAUGGCAAUAGAUUAAAUCCAAAUUCAUCAGUGGCAGCUCUUAUAGCUCAGUCUGAAAACAAUCAAACAGAUCAAGAUCUUGGAGACAAUAGCCGCAGUCUUGUUGGCAGAGGAAGCUCACCCAGAGGAAGUCUCUCACCAAGGUCCCCUGUAAGCAGCUUACAGAUCCGCUAUGAUCAACCAGGCAACAGCAGUUUGGAAAAUCUGCCCCCAGUAGCAGCCAGCAUAGAGCAGCUUCUGGAGAGGCAGUGGAGUGAAGGACAGCAGUUUUUAUUAGAACAGGGCACUCCCAGUGACAUUUUAGGAAUGCUGAAAUCAUUACACCAACUUCAAGUAGAAAAUCGAAGAUUAGAGGAACAGAUUAAAAACUUGACUGCCAAAAAGGAACGCCUUCAGUUAUUGAAUGCACAGCUCUCAGUGCCUUUUCCAACAAUAACAACAAAUCCCAGCCCAUCUCAUCAAAUGCAUGCAUUUUCAGCGCAGAAUGCUCCUACUACUGAUUCCUUGAACAGCAGUAAGAGCCCUCAUCUAGGAAACAGCUUUUUACCUGAUAAUUCUCUUCCUGUAUUAAAUCAGGACUUAACCUCCAGUGGACAAAGCACCAGCAGCUCAUCGGCUCUUUCUACUCCACCUCCUGCCGGGCAGAGUCCAGCUCAGCAGGGCUCAGGCGUUAGUGGAGUUCAGCAGGUCAAUGGUGUGACAGUGGGGGCACUAGCUAGUGGAAUGCAGACUGUAACAUCCACCAUUCCUGCCGUGCCUGGAGUGGGUGGAAUAAUUGGAGCUUUGCCAGGUAACCAACUGGCAAUUAAUGGCAUUGUAGGAGCUUUAAAUGGGGUUAUUCAGACCCCUGUCACAAUAUCCCAGAACCCUACCCCCCUGACCCACACAACUGUACCACCUAAUGCAACACAUCCAAUGCCAGCUACACUGACUAACAGUGCCUCAGGACUAGGAUUACUUUCUGACCAGCAAAGACAGAUAUUUCUUCAUCAACAGCAAUUCCAGCAGUUGUUAAGUUCACAACAGCUUACACCAGAACAGCACCAGGCGCUUCUGUAUCAGUUGGUGCAGCAGCACCACCAGCAGCAGCACCACCAGCCUGACCUCCAGCAGCUGCAGAUCCCGGGACCCACGCAGAUACCCAUCAACAACCUGCUCGCAGGCACGCAGGCACCUCCGCUUCACCCUGCCACCACCAACCCCUUCCUCACCAUCCAUGGCGAUAAUGCCAGUCAGAAGGUGACAGUCUACUUUACUGGAGUAUAAAUGUUUCCCCUAAAUUCCAGUUCAGGGCAGAACCCUGUUAGAGGAAGGAUAUUGGGAUAUAGAAUGGAGACUGGACAUCAGGAAAAGGAAGAAGGGAAAGAAUGAGAGACUUAGUGAUAAAACUGGGCCUGUUGCUCAAGAAAAAAGUUGACACUUGAGAAACAUCUAGAAAUGGCCUGUCCUGCUGUUCUAGCACUUCAUCUGGCUGCUGUUGCAGUCCUCUUACUACACCUAAUGAAGAAAUGCAACAGGAAACUAGCUGCACGACUAAGGAUUAAUUGCCACAAGAACAUUCUUGUAAGGCUUUGAUUGAUUUUCUUGUUGCUUUGUUGCACUGAAAUGGAAUUCCCAUAUCCCCCACCCCUCACCCAGAUUUUUUGAACUUUGAAAGAAAAUUUAAUAGCUAACUUUUGUCAAUGAAAUAAUUUACAUGCAAUGAGUUUAUCAACCUAAGAGAAAUUUAAUAUAGUUGGUGCACAACUAAUUUUGUUAUAAAUUGGAGAGAUGAAUAGCAAAACUAAAGACUUGUUCCAUUUAUAAACCAUUUGAUUUUAUUGUACAAGUUGGAACAUGAAAUAUGAUCUUUUGUUUGGGUUACAGUAUGCUUGCUCUAUGAGUCAAACCUUAAAACAAAUUUCAAGGAACUGUCUAAUUUCUUCUACUGGAGUUUUAUUGAUUAAAUAUUACAAAUAAACAGGUCAUCCACUGGGACUUGGCAAUCUUUGUUAUAAAAAUUUCCUUUCUAAUGGGAUUUGGCCAAUUUUGGUAAUCAGGUUAGGAUGGUAAAUGUCUGCUUCUGCUAAAGGUAAUUUUCUUUUGCUAAAUGCAUUUUCUUUAGUUUUAAGACCUACUCAUAUUUUAAAGAAUCCUUAAGUUAAGUGAGUUCUAAGGCUGCUGAGGGAACCAGCUCAAUUCAAAGUGAAAGAGGGGCCACUCUGGAAACUCCUGGUAGGGUUUGGCCUGAAUCAAGUGCCUGUAAGUACCUGCCUUGUGCUGAAGUGGCUCUGGACAGCUGAGCCUGUGCUCUCAGUCCUUGGGAGUAGUAGGAACAGUCGGCGUUGCACCAGCAGCCUUCCCCAUGGUUCUGCCUUUAUUAAGAACUUUCUAUGCCACUGUAGCUAGCUCAGGCAAAACUAUUACCUGGGUAUUUAUCCACUAAUGAGUCACAAGAAAAAUGAGUGGAUUUGGUAAGAAUUUUCUUUUUUUCUUAAGUUAGACAACUUCCCAUUGUCGAUGAUUUCAAACAAACAAAACAAGACUAGAAACCCACCACCGCAGUUCCUGAAACAGGUGAAAUCUGCAUUACAGCCCUUCCUCGUUGGGUAGCCCCACUCCUGGUGUGACAGUAUAGCAGAGUAUAAAUUAAACAAUUGGAGAUGUAAUCAUUGAACUAUUCUUAAAUGUGUGAAUUAUUAGUGGAAAAGACCCAGCUGUAAUUAGACCUCCACUGUGUACUUAGCUGGAAGAACAUGUUAAUUCUGCAAUAUGUCUCUUGGUUAAACAUUGCACAGUUCUUACCUCAUUUCUGUAAAUAAGGUUUUGUGAAUCUGUUUUGUAUUGUGAAAAAUUCAUAAGAUAACACUGAUAUUUUGAUUUGUAAUAUUUCUAAUUGGUAGAUUAAUUGAAAAGUAAAAUUAAUUUAUUUUUAUAUGUUCAGGGGAAUUUUAAACAAAGUCAAAUCUUUUGUAGAUAAUUAAAAAAAAUCGGUGUGGUUUAUUUUACUUAUUUAACCCACUGGUUGUUAUUCUGUAACAAUUUGUAUAAAUGGUAAAUUUUGAAUGUGUUGUUAUUUUACUUAGGUGUAAAAUUCCACAUGUAUUAAAGAAAAUGUACAAAGUUUUUGUUAAUAAAAUUUAAUAAUGUUUAUAA